rnacentral:rRNA from 1 species
UACGAAGGGGGCUAGCGUUGCUCGGAAUCACUGGGCGUAAAGCGCACGUAGGCGGCUUGUUAAGUCAGGGGUGAAAUCCUGGAGCUCAACUCCAGAACUGCCUUUGAUACUGAGAUCUUGAGUUCGGGAGAGGUGAGUGGAACUGCGAGUGUAGAGGUGAAAUUCGUAGAUAUUCGCAAGAACACCAGUGGCGAAGGCGGCUCACUGGCCCG